rnacentral:lncRNA from 1 species
AUUAAAUGCAUCAUUUCAUGCAGUGUAAUUCUGGUCAAAAUCUAGGACAAAUUCUAUCACAAGACAGGUAAUUCGGAUAAGUUUAAAUAUAUUUUAUUUGCUGAAUUAAAGGAAAAUGGAUUAGACACAAGUAAAUCAUACUUAUGAAGUCUUCUGCAUAAUACAAUAUAAAAUUACAAUAAUAAUAUAAUAUAAUGGACAUGCAUAUAAAGCAAACAGUUUAUACAUGUAUAGAAUAUAAUACUAGCUUUCAUAAGUAAAAAGAGGAGAGAAAGAACAGAAGAGAAAAGUCAUAUAAUUAUGUGAUGUUGACGUGUGUGUUGAUGAUGACGAUGAUGUUCCGUGCCAGUAACAAUAACGCUCUAUCAAGGCUUAAGAAAUCAGUUUGAUCUUUUUAUGAAGUUUUGAACAUGUUUGAAAAUUUUAAUAUUUUGAUCGUUUGAGAGUUCCAAGUGUCCGCAAAUUAAUAGUUUUGUAUCUACAACACAGUUUUAGGAUAGCUAGUUAAGAUUAUUGAAUAAGUUUUUUCUACAUGAUUAAUUAACAGGUAAUUCGGAUCACAAGUUCUAACAAAUAGGAUCAACUAAAACAUCGUCUUCCAUGCAAGUUUUCUCUUACCAAAUGGCAUAACUCAAAUUCAAAUUAUGUUUUUGUGUGGCGAAUACUCGACUCUAAUAAAGACAAUAAGAGAAAUAAUCAUAUUUUAAUUUAUCUGCUUAUCAUUGCACACUAGCUAUACAUUGCUAUAAUGAUCCAUAAC